rnacentral:rRNA from 1 species
UACGUAGGGUGCAAGCGUUGUCCGGAAUUAUUGGGCGUAAAGAGCUCGUAGGCGGUUUGUUGCGUCGGCUGUGAAAUCCCGAGGCUCAACCUCGGGUCUGCAGUCGAUACGAGCAAACUAGAGUGUUGCAGGGGAGACUGGAAUUCCUGGUGUAGCGGUGAAAUGCGCAGAUAUCAGGAGGAACACCGGUGGCGAAGGCGGCGCUCUGGGCCGGAACUGACGCUGAGGAGCGAAAGCGUGGGGAGCGAACAGG